CCUACGGGCGGCAGCAGUGGGGAAUAUUGGGCAAUGGAGGCAACUCUGACCCAGCAACGCCGCGUGAAUGAUGAAGGUCUUCGGAUUGUAAAGUUCUGUGAUGGGGGAUGAACACAAUGACGGUACCCCAAUAGCAAGCCACGGCUAACUACGUGCCAGCAGCCGCGGUAAUACGUAGGUGGCAAGCGUUAUCCGGAAUGACUGGGCGUAAAGGGUGCGUAGGUGGUUUAGUAAGAUAGUGGUGAAAUCCCAGGGCUUAACUUUGGAAUUGCCAUUAUAACUAUUAGACUAGAAUUACAGAGAGGAUAGUGGAAUACCCAGUGUAGAGGUGAAAUUCGUAGAUAUUGGGUAGAACACCAGUGGCGAAGGCGACUAUCUGGCUGUACAUUGACGCUGAGGCUCGAAAGCAUGGGGAUCAAACAGGAUUAGAUACCCUAGUAGUC
rnacentral:rRNA from 1 species